CCCAUCUUCUAAGUGAUCUUAGCAUUCUCCAAGCUACUUAGCUUUCUUUGUGAUUCGAUCCGAGGAAGCGAGGCUUCGAAGGCUUACUUAGCUUGUUCAUCGAGGUAUUCAAGUCUAAGUGCCGCACGGGCGGAAGGCUUAAAGAGUCAUCCCGUGACACUAGGAUCCUAUGAUCGGGACCAUCCAUUAUACAUCAUGCAGUCAGAAGAUCCGGCGAGGAUCCUUUUCCGAUUGUUUGUACCCAAAUUAACACGUCCCAUUGGGUCGGGUAAAAUUUGAGACCUUGCCAAUUAACCAUGUUUUGAUGUCGACAUCUCAUAGAUAUCGAUUUCACAAUAGCUUUAACAAUAGUUUUGGGUAUUAUGUUAUUCGUAGAAGCACAUUGAAGUCGCUAUUACAUGUUUGGUUUGGAAGUGAUUUUAGAAUGACUACAAGCGUUUUUAGAAAAAAAAUGUUUUUGUGUUUUAAAGACACUUCAAGUGCUUUUCUUGGAUUCACUUGUAUUUUUACAAAGUUUGGUUACAUAAACAUUUUACAAAAAAGUGAUUUCAUCCAUCUUAAACACAGUCCCAAACGAGUUCAUACAUGAUAUGCUAGAAACCAACACUCAAAUUAAACUCAACCAAUAAAACUUAAACUAAAUUAAACUCACAAUUAAACAAUGGGAGAUUUGAAUGAUUGAAUUGAACUAAAACUAAGAACUAAAAUUAACAAAAGUAAAUGGCAACAAGUACUUAAAAGUGUAGAGUGAUUAUUGGAUGAAAGGCCAACUAAAGGAUUCUUCUCCACACAUGAAACAUAUGCAUACCACUCGAUUUCCAGUUAUUGUUUCUGUAAACAAUGAAUGAUAAUGCCUCAAAUUAACCAUGAACAUCACUAAUUAACUCUCAAAUUUUCCUAAGCUCAUUGAAUUGGACAAAGCAUAGCACAACUAAAAUCGUUUUUCUCAAGUUUUCUAAUUUGUAACUAUAAAAAAUCAUUAAGGUAUGUGAAAAUCAUAAGUAUUGACAAAGCAAUUGUAACUACGAACGAAAAGAUGUAAGAAUGUGAGUGUCCAAUGGUAUGGUUAAUGUUUUCUCGAUGUACAAGUAACUUGGUCUUCGAGUUAUUUAGUUUAAUUAGGUUGUAUUUGUAAAUCUGAAUUCUUGUAUUUAUUGUCGAUGCAAAUUUCCGCCAUCUUCAGUCUUGACGAAAAUGCACCUGCAAAACAAUCAACACCUUCGAUCAAAGACCUAAGCCUCAUGCACCCAUGAGGUGGGGGGGGGGGUUAGGUCAAUGGAUCUCCGAUGCCUAAGUUAGUUUCUCUGAGAGAGUAAAGUGUUUAGGGCCUUUUUAGGGUUGCAAAAGCUCUGAAAAUUUGGUAGAAUAUGGGGUAGUUAUGGGGAUAGAGCCGACCAUAGUGUUUAAUGGAGAGAUAUUCUCUAAAUAUUCCCAAUAUAUUUAAUAGGAAAGAAUAUCUUGAGAUAAUGGAGUAAUGAUCCCUAAUUGAUUUAUAUUAGGAUUACUUACUUGAUUGGAGUCAAUCUUCAAAUGGGGAUGUAUUAAAGAUAGGAUUUGGAUAAUUAAUCCUUAUCUUUAAUUCCUUGCCAAGGGCAGGUGAGCUGUGGGCAGUCGUAUUCAGCUGCUGGGACCUUUAGGGAUAUGAGUUGCAUGUGGGAGCAUCUGAGAAGCCUGCCCAUUUUAUUGAGGGCAAUCUUAUCUUUCUUGAAUAAAAGUCCACGUGUUGGCUCUAGAAUUUUUGGGAUUAUUUUCGGCUCUACAAAUGCCCCCACACCUACUAUGAUGCACUCAUGAAAAGGCCAGUAGAUGUAGAAAUCCCAAGUUGCUUGGGUUUGUAGAAUUGUUUCCCAAUUUGAACUUGAUCAUCUUUCUUGAUUUGGAGAUAGACUUCUUCUAGGGAAAGGAAACCAAUUGUCCCCAAUACCUAUUUAAUUCUUCCUUAAGCAGGGGAUUAAAUAAAUUUGGAGAACAAUCUUUAUUCUUACAAGGAAAAGUAGCCAAAGGAAAUUUCUAUUCCCCCUCCCCUAGCGUUCUUCUUUUCUUGCCCUUGCAAAGAGUCAUGUCUCAUCAUCGUUCUUCUUCUCCAUCGUUCUUCUUCUUGAAUUUUUUUGGGAGUCUUAGGACUUGGAAAAUUGGCUCGGCGGGGGCUGAGGUGGUGUGAGUGUCGUGGUAUGGAUGUGGUUGGAGUGCAGAGGUGCUGGGCUGGGCGAGCCGUGAGGCUCUAGCCCCUCGAAAUGAGCUCAGUACGAGCCAAGCUUGGUGGAGCAGACUCGGGUCUGCUGUAGCAGGCGAGAGGGAAUGAGAGAGGUUGGGUCAAGAGGCCUUAGGCCUUGCUGGGUUGUAGCGGAGAGGGAGAGAGGUGCAAGGCACUCGCCCCCUCUCUGUUAAAUUGGG
rnacentral:lncRNA from 1 species